GGCUCUGUGGUGCAAUGGAUAAUGCAUUAGAUUUACAAUUCAAAGGUUGUGGGUUGGACUCCCACCAGAAUUG